AAUCAACGCUGGCGGCGUGCCUAACACAUGCAAGUCGCACGAGAAAGGGGAGCAAUCCCUGAGUAAAGUGGCGCACGGGUGAGUAACACGUGACUAACCUACCCUCGAGUGGGGAAUAACCUAGAGAAAUCUGGGCUAAUACCGCGUAACACUUACGAGUCAAAGCAGCAAUGCGCUUGAGGAGGGGGUCGCGGCAGAUUAGCUAGUUGGCGGGGUAAUGGCCCACCAAGGCAAUGAUCUGUAUCCGGCCUGAGAGGGCGCACGGACACACUGGAACUGAAACACGGUCCAGACUCCUACGGGAGGCAGCAGUGGGGAAUUUUGCGCAAUGGGGGAAACCCUGACGCAGCAACGCCGCGUGGAGGAUGAAAUCCCUUGGGAU
rnacentral:rRNA from 1 species